rnacentral:rRNA from 1 species
GAUGAACGCUGGCGGCGUGCCUAAUACAUGCAAGUCGAGCGAACAGACGAGGAGCUUGCUCCUCUGACGUUAGCGGCGGACGGGUGAGUAACACGUGGAUAACCUACCUAUAAGACUGGGAUAACUUCGGGAAACCGGAGCUAAUACCGGAUAAUAUAUUGAACCGCAGGGUUCAAUAGUGAAAGACGGUUUUGCUGUCACUUAUAGAUGGAUCCGCGCCGCAUUAGCUAGUUGGUAAGGUAACGGCUUACCAAGGCAACGAUGCGUAGCCGACCUGAGAGGGUGAUCGGCCACACUGGAACUGAGACACGGUCCAGACUCCUACGGGAGGCAGCAGUGGGGAAUCUUGCGCAAUGGGCGAAAGCCUGACCGAGCAACGCCGCGUGAGUGAUGAAGGUCUUCGGAUCGUAAAACUCUGUUAUUUGGGAAGAACAAAUGUGUAAGUAACUAUGCACGUCUUGACGGUACCUAAUCAGAAAGCCACGGCUAACUACGUG